rnacentral:rRNA from 1 species
ACUUAAAUUGAAGAGUUUGAUCAUGGCUCAGAUUGAACGCUGGCGGCAGGCCUAACACAUGCAAGUCGAGCGGUAGCACAGAGAGCUUGCUCUCGGGUGACGAGCGGCGGACGGGUGAGUAAUGUCUGGGAAACUGCCUGAUGGAGGGGGAUAACUACUGGAAACGGUAGCUAAUACCGCAUAAUGUCGCAAGACCAAAGUGGGGGACCUUCGGGCCUCAUGCCAUCAGAUGUGCCCAGAUGGGAUUAGCUAGUAGGUGGGGUAAUGGCUCACCUAGGCGACGAUCCCUAGCUGGUCUGAGAGGAUGACCAGCCACACUGGAACUGAGACACGGUCCAGACUCCUACGGGAGGCAGCAGUGGGGAAUAUUGCACAAUGGGCGCAAGCCUGAUGCAGCCAUGCCGCGUGUGUGAAGAAGGCCUUCGGGUUGUAAAGCACUUUCAGCGGGGAGGAAGGCGGUGAGGUUAAUAACCUCAUCGAUUGACGUUACCCGCAGAAGAAGCACCGGCUAACUCCGUGCCAGCAGCCGCGGUAAUACGGAGGGUGCAAGCGUUAAUCGGAAUUACUGGGCGUAAAGCGCACGCAGGCGGUCUGUCAAGUCGGAUGUGAAAUCCCCGGGCUUAACCUGGGAACUGCAUUCGAAACUGGCAGGCUAGAGUCUUGUAGAGGGGGGUAGAAUUCCAGGUGUAGCGGUGAAAUGCGUAGAGAUCUGGAGGAAUACCGGUGGCGAAGGCGGCCCCCUGGACAAAGACUGACGCUCAGGUGCGAAAGCGUGGGGAGCAAACAGGAUUAGAUACCCUGGUAGUCCACGCCGUAAACGAUGUCGAUUUGGAGGUUGUGCCCUUGAGGCGUGGCUUCCGGAGCUAACGCGUUAAAUCGACCGCCUGGGGAGUACGGCCGCAAGGUUAAAACUCAAAUGAAUUGACGGGGGCCCGCACAAGCGGUGGAGCAUGUGGUUUAAUUCGAUGCAACGCGAAGAACCUUACCUGGUCUUGACAUCCACAGAACUUUCCAGAGAUGGAUUGGUGCCUUCGGGAACUGUGAGACAGGUGCUGCAUGGCUGUCGUCAGCUCGUGUUGUGAAAUGUUGGGUUAAGUCCCGCAACGAGCGCAACCCUUAUCCUUUGUUGCCAGCGGUCCGGCCGGGAACUCAAAGGAGACUGCCAGUGAUAAACUGGAGGAAGGUGGGGAUGACGUCAAGUCAUCAUGGCCCUUACGACCAGGGCUACACACGUGCUACAAUGGCAUAUACAAAGAGAAGCGACCUCGCGAGAGCAAGCGGACCUCAUAAAGUAUGUCGUAGUCCGGAUUGGAGUCUGCAACUCGACUCCAUGAAGUCGGAAUCGCUAGUAAUCGUAGAUCAGAAUGCUACGGUGAAUACGUUCCCGGGCCUUGUACACACCGCCCGUCACACCAUGGGAGUGGGUUGCAAAAGAAGUAGGUAGCUUAACCUUCGGGAGGGCGCUUACCACUUUGUGAUUCAUGACUGGGGUGAAGUCGUAACAAGGUAACCGUAGGGGAACCUGCGGUUGGAUCACCUCCUUACCUUAAAGAA